GACGAACGCUGGCGGCGUGCUUAACACAUGCAAGUCGAACGGAAAGGCCCUGCUUUUGUGGGGUGCUCGAGUGGCGAACGGGUGAGGAACACGUGAGUAACCUGCCCUUGACUUUGGGAUAACUUCAGGAAACUGGGGCUAAUACCGGAUAGGAGCUCCUGCUGCAUGGUGGGGGUUGGAAAGUUUCGGCGGUUGGGGAUGGACUCGCGGCUUAUCAGCUUGUUGGUGGGGCAGUGGCUUACCAAGGCUUUGACGGGUAGCCGGCCUGAGAGGGUGACCGGCCACAUUGGGACUGAGAUACGGCCCAGACUCCUACGGGAGGCAGCAGUGGGGAAUAUUGCACAAUGGGCGGAAGCCUGAUGCAGCAACGCCGCGUGCGGGAUGACGGCCUUCGGGUUGUAAACCGCUUUCGCCUGUGACGAAGCGUGAGUGACGGUAAUGGGUAAAGAAGCACCGGCUAACUACGUG
rnacentral:rRNA from 1 species